CAAUCUUACCUGGCAUUUAUUUUCUAACCGUUUGUUUCCGCGGUCUGAGUUGAGUUUUGUUUUCUUUCGAAUUUGUGUUUAAUUUAAUAUUGAGUGCACGUCUUUUAUAAUAUGAAUUAAAAUGUUACAUGAAUUUCAAUAAAGCACCUUUUGUUUAUGCAAAUUCCUUAUUAAAUUGCUAGCAUUGAAACAAAACAAUAUUGUAGCAUGGACAAGUGGAGUAAAACGCAGUUAAGUUUCUUUUUGUUACUAUGCGUUUAUAUUCAACUGUCUAAAACGCUUGGAGAUGUCUCUUCACGGAACGCUAACACACUCGUUACGCCAUACACGUCAACCACCACUGUGACUAUACAAACCGAUUUGGAGCCCAUAAAUGGUACAAUCAAUUAUCGAAUUAAUGGUAAGAAGAAUCGUGACAAUAAGCCUUGGUUCGACGGGCGUGGCCUGGAUAUGCAACACACACAGUGUGUGCGUCAUGGUCGUUGCGAGCGGCUCGUAAACACCACAUGCUUUGGAGCUAACAUUACAUAUAGUUUAACCAGUUUAGAUCUCACCGACUACCAAAACCAAGAUCAAAUGUUAAAGCAUUUAAGUAGUUAUCGUGCGCUUAGAAAUGUACCCAAAUGUUGGGCCGUAAUACAACCUUUUCUCUGCUCUGUAUUUAUGCCAAAAUGUGAACAGAUAAAUGGCAAGGAUAUGGUUUACCUACCCUCUGUGGAAAUGUGUCGCAAAACAUGGGAACCAUGUCGCAUACUCUACAAUACCUCGUAUUUUCCCGAAUUCCUACGUUGCAAUGAGACUUUGUUUCCACCUAAAUGUACCAACGAUGUGCAGGAUAUGAAAUUCAAUGCAACAGGUAGCUGUUUGUCACCACUGGUGCCAGCCGAUUCCAGCAGCAGUUACUAUCCUGGCAUUGAAGGUUGCGGUGUACAAUGCAAAGAUCCUUUAUAUACAGAUGAUGAACACCGACAAAUUCACAAAUUGAUCAGCUGGCUGGGCACACUAUGCUUCUUGGCUAAUUUGUUUGUUGUAGCCACUUUUAUUAUUGAUUGGGAGAAUGCUAAUAAGUACCCAGCUUUGAUUGUGUUUUACAUAAAUUUAUGCUUCAUGAUUUCCUGUUUGGGUUGGCUGGCACAAUUCACACCCGGUUCACGUGAUGACAUCGUUUGUCGCAAAGAUGGUACGCUGCGACAUUCAGAGCCGACUGCCGGUGAAAAUCUAUCCUGCAUUAUUGUAUUUGUACUUGUCUACUACUUUCUAACCGCAGCCAUGGUUUGGUUUGUUUUCCUCACCUAUACUUGGCACCUGCGUGCAGUGGGCAACGUGCAGGAUCGCAUUGAUAAGAAAGGUUCAUAUUUCCAUUUGGUUGCAUGGUCACUACCACUAGUGCUUACCAUUACCACAAUGGCACUGAGCGAAGUAGAUGGCAACAGUACGGUUGGCAUAUGCUUUGUUGGUUACCUAAAUCAUCCCAUGCGGGCCGCGUUAUUGCUGGGCCCUUUGUGUGGCGUUAUUUUGGUUGGUGGCUACUUUGUUACACGCGGCAUGAUAAUGCUAUUUGGGCUGAAGCAUUUUGCCAACGAUAUUAAAUCUACAUCGGCAAGCAAUAAGAUACAUCUGAUCAUUGUAAGAAUGGGUGUGUGUUCGAUAUUUACACUCAUUUUCAUAUUAGCAGCCAUCGCCUGUCAUGUAAACGAGUUUAAGCAUUCACGCGAAUGGGCUGAAAGUCUAGGAAAAUACAUAGUUUGUCGCAUUGCCACCGAGGAAAAGUGCCGAAUCGAAAAUCGUCCCAGCAUUGCGUUGCUGCAGCUGCAUUUGAUCUGCCUUUUUGGCUCGGGAAUUGUCAUGUCUACUUGGUGCUGGACACCAUCGUCGCUUGACACCUGGCGUCGUUACAUAAAAAAGAAAUGCGGAAAGGAAGUUGUGGAAGAAAUAAAAAUGCCAAAACACAAGGUGAUCGCUCAAACUUGGGCAAAACGCAAAGAGUUCGAGGAUAAGGGCAGGCUGUCCAUCACACUUUACAACACGCACACCGACCCUGUAGGUUUGAAUUUUGAUGUAAAUGAUUUAAACUCAUCUGAAACCAAUGAAAUCAGUUCAACGUGGGCGAAUUAUUUGCCACAAUUUGUGAAACGCCGGAUGGCACUCACCGGUGCGGGCACCACAAACUCAUCCAGUCAAGGCCCACGUAAAAACUCCGUGGACUCGGAGAUCAGUUUUAGUGUACGACAUGUUUCCGUAGAAUCACGACGCAAUUCUGUCGACUCUCAGGUGUCGGUAAAAAUUGCCGAAAUGAAAACAAAAGUCGCCUCACGCACACGCAAUGGCCAUCAUCAUCAUCACAGUAGUAAACAUGCAACUGCCACCAAUAAACGUACGCAUAAACGUCGUGACUUUAUGUCGGCAGCCACAACUGGGCGUAAAUAUAGUGGACGGCGGGAAAGCAGUACCUCCAUAGAGUCGCAGGUCAUUGCUUUAAAAAAAACCACAUAUCCAAAUGUCAGUCACAAGGUCGGCCUAUUUACACAGCAAAGUACAAAGAAACACCAUACGCACGGGGGCAAAAUGAUGAAGCGACGCAGCGCCAAUGCUGGUUUGGACCCGGCCGAUAUCAGUGAAUUUUUGGCCAAAAAUGGUCAGUUGCUUAUGCCUUUCCUGCAGCAGCAAGGCUUGAGCAGCUCUUCCGAGGAGGAAAAUUCACAUGCCUCCUUCAAAAUAAAAGAUUCUCGCUUAGAUGUACUGCUUAAACAGGAUCUAAGUGACGAUUCCAACUAUAAUGACGAAAACAAUGUGGCUCAUGCUCAUGCAGGUGCACGUAUCGAAGAAAUAAAUGCUGAAACAAGCGAACGCAAUGCUAAGAAACAGAUCGCUUUAGAGAAUCUGUUAAAGAAUAUGCAGAAAUCGAAUGAAUCGGGCGGUAACCGCAAUUCACGCAACUCUACACGUAGCCGGCAUUCACGUAAAUCACAGGCGACCAACACUGCGACCGCUGCAACAUGCUCCGCUGCGGCCGUGCUUGCUAACAGCAACAGUCGUCGUUCACAGCGCAGCAACAAGAGCAGAAAGCACAGUUCAAUGCGGUCGAAUGUUGCCGCGACCGCUUUGUUACACAACCACAGCAACGACGAGGAGGAUCCGUUGAAUAUAUCUGAUUUGAAUUUGCAUUUAACACGUGAUCUCAAUGGUGAUGGUAUUGUUGAAAUUGGUGAUUCCAUCGCCUCUUCGUGCACCUCCUCCGAACUAGACUUACCGCUAGGUUUGACAUUGCACAGCUCCUACUCGGCGCACUCUACAGGCAAGCCGCACUCGCGUAACAGCAAAACAAGCUGUGAUGUGGGCAUACAAGCGAAUGCCUUCGAAAUUGCAACGCACAAUUUAUCUUCCUAUGACGAAGACGAAUUGAAGGUGGCAAUGCGACAAUUAAAUGCGAAGAGCGCGAAACAGAAAAAUGAUUAUACUAACGAAGCCAUCGACGCCACCGAAAUGAAUACAUUGUUGCGCAACAACAAUAACAAGCACAGCCUCUUAUGCAAAAAGAAAACGUACAAUUUUUCUUCCAAUGAGGAAGACGAAUUGGAGUUGGCAAUGCGGCAAUUGAAUGCGAAGACUGCGAAACAGAAAAAUGAUUAUGCUAACGAAGCCAUCGACGCCACCGAAAUGAAUACAUUGUUGAGCAACAACAAUAACAAGCACAGGGAAACGACGCUCUUAAGCGAAUCCGAAAAGUUGAAGUUAUUGUUGCUGCCAUCGAAGUAAAUAAAAAUAGAAUCUGAAGGAAAUGAAAGUAACAAUUAAGAAACUCGCAUAAGGUCAUUGUCAGCGAAAGUCCAAAAUGUGCAGCAGCGGUAUAAAAGUACAAUGGUGGUAUAAAAGUUAGUGCUUUAUGUGUAAUGCACUUAUAUAUAUUUUUUUUGCAUUUUUAUACCCUGAGCAGAGUAUAUUAAGUUCGCUACGCAAUUAGUAGCACCGAAAACGAAACGUUGGAGAUCUAGUCGUUGUAUGAAAAAUUUUUUGUAUUUGACAAAAUGUCUUCACGAAACUCGGAUGCAUACAAAAGGACCGAUCAAAAUCAAGUACUUUUGUAUUCGUGUAUAGCUGCGGCGCCGCCGAAGUUAACGUGUUGCCUUUUUUUAAUUUAUGUAAUUAACGAGUACCGUUUAAACAGUUAUAGUUUUGUAAAUUGGUAAUUCUUUUAUUUACCGUAAGUACGCUUUGUUUCGCAUGUUUUUAUAUAACGAAAAUAUUGUCUGAAAAAUACUCAUUUUGAUACCGAAAUCACGAAUAUUGCAUUUAUAUGUAUUUAUGCAUUUUUAUAAUAUACUCAUAUGCUAUAAAACUUCUGUACUGACUUGAUAUGAUUUAAGCAUAUAUUUAUACAUACCUUUUUUGUAAUAUAGAUUAUAAUUCUACUUUUAUAGUAUAAAAGUACUAAUUUUGUAAUUAAAGUAAGUGAAAAUACAGAAAAUAUUUUUAUAAAUUUUUCUAUAUAUUUAAAUUACUGCAUGAAAUCAACAAGAAAGCUCAAAUAUAGAAAUAGUUAUUAGUGCCUUAAGAUUUUUUGAACAUUUUUAAACGUAGGAUUCUAUUGUAUUUAUGAAAUUAUACAAUGUCAAAAUUGUCAAUAAAAAUGAUACAUAAAUGAUUACGGUACUGUGUAAAAGUACUCAAAUCAUAAUACAUCAACACUUUCGUUGUUUAAAGCUAGAUUUUGCAGUGGUGAAACUCAAACGUAAUUCUGGACUCCAAAUAGUAUUGUUCAGAAAUUCACCAAGGAAAUAGCAGCAUACGGUAAAAGCUAGCAUGGCGCUGAGCAUAAAAUAACGCAUAGGUAGAUUAAGAACUUCCAGCAGUGGAUAUACCCAAUGAC
rnacentral:misc_RNA from 1 species